AUUGAACGCUGGCGGCAGGCCUAACACAUGCAAGUCGAACGGUAACAGGAAACAGCUUGCUGUUUCGCUGACGAGUGGCGGACGGGUGAGUAAUGUCUGGGAAACUGCCUGAUGGAGGGGGAUAACUACUGGAAACGGUAGCUAAUACCGCAUAACGUCGCAAGACCAAAGAGGGGGACCUUCGGGCCUCUGGCCAUCGGAUGCGCCCAGAUGGGAUUAGCUAGUAGGUGGGGUAACGGCUCACCUAGGCGACGAUCCCUAGCUGGUCUGAGAGGAUGACCAGCCACACUGGAACUGAGACACGGUCCAGACUCCCACGGGAGGCAGCAGUGGGGAAUAUUGCACAAUGGGCGCAAGCCUGAUGCAGCCAUGCCGCGUGUAUGAAGAAGGCCUUCGGGUUGUAAAGUACUUUCAGCGGGGAGGAAGGGAGUAAAGUUAAUACCUUUGCUCAUUGACGUUACCCGCAGAAGAAGCACCGGCUAACUCCGUGCCAGCCGCCGCGGUAA
rnacentral:rRNA from 1 species